UCAAAAUCUAGAGACAAGAACUCCAAAUAUUGUCGUUAUUGCAAGAAAAAGGGACACGAGAUCUCUGAAUGUUAUAAAUUGAAAAAUAAGCAAGAUAGAGAAGAUAAGGGAAAUGGUAAACAACCAGAAAAAUUUGCCGAAGCUAGUAUUGUUGAAACUGAAUCUGAUGGGGAUUGUUUUGUAGCUUCCAACACUGAACAAAGGUCUAAAAAUGAAUGGAUUCUUGAUUCUGGUUGUACUUUUC
rnacentral:lncRNA from 1 species